UGCCAGCAGCCGCGGUAAGACGGAGAGUGCAAACGUUGUUCGGAAUCACUGGGCAUAAAGAGCACGUAGGCGGCCAAUUAAGUCGGAUGUGAAAGCCCUCGGCUCAACCGAGGAACUGCACCCGAUACUGAUUGGCUCGAGGACGGCAGGGGUGAGUGGAACUCCAGGUGGAGCGGUGAAAUGCGUAGAUAUCUGGAGGAACACCGGUGGCGAAAGCGGCUCACUGGGCCGUAUCUGACGCUGAGGUGCGAAAGCUAGGGUAGCAAACGGGAUUAGAUA
rnacentral:rRNA from 1 species